rnacentral:rRNA from 1 species
UCGGGAGUGCUUGCACUCUGUGAAACAAGAUACAGGGCUAGCGGCGGACGGGUGAGUAACACGUGGGUAACCUGCCCGAGAGAUCGGGAUAACACCUGGAAAACAGAUGCUAAUGCCGGAUAACAACAGAUGAUGCCUAUCAACUGUUUAAAAGAUGGUUCUGCUAUCACUCUUGGAUGGACCUGCGGUGCAUUAGCUAGUUGGUAGGUAACGGCCUACCAAGGCGAUGAUGCAUAGCCGAGUUGAGAGACUGAUCGGCCACAUUGGGACUGAGACACGGCCCAAACUCCUACGGGAGGCAGCAGUAGGGAAUCUUCCACAAUGGACGCAAGUCUGAUGGAGCAACGCCGCGUGAGUGAAGAAGGGUUUCGGCUCGUAAAGCUCUGUUGUUGGUGAAGAAGGACAGGGGUAGUAACUGACCUUUGUCUGACGGUAAUCAAUUAGAAAGUCACGGCUAACUACGUGCCAGCAGCCGCGGUAAAU